CCUACGGGAGGCAGCAGUGAGGAAUAUUGGUCAAUGGACGGAAGUCUGAACCAGCCAUGCCGCGUGCAGGAAGACGGCUCUAUGAGUUGUAAACUGCUUUUGUACAAGGGUAAACCUGAAUACGUGUAUUCAGCUGAAAGUACUGUACGAAUAAGGAUCGGCUAACUCCGCGCCAGCAGCCGCGGUAAUACGGAGGAUCCAAGCGUUGUCCGGAUUUAUUGGGUUUAAAGGGUGCGUAGGCGGAUUGAUAAGUUAGAGGUGAAAUGUCCGAGCUUAACUCGUGAACUGCCUCUAAUACUGUUGAUCUAGAGAGUAGAUGCGGUAGGCGGAAUGUAUGGUGUAGCGGUGAAAGGCUUAGAGAUCAUACAGAACACCGGUUGCGAAGGCAGCUUACCAAUCUAUAUCUGACGUGGAGGCACGAAAGCGUGGGGAGCAAACAGGAUUAGAUACCCCUGUAGUC
rnacentral:rRNA from 1 species